rnacentral:rRNA from 1 species
GUGGGGAAUCUUGCGCAAUGGGCGAAAGCCUGACGCAGCCAUGCCGCGUGAAUGAUGAAGGUCUUAGGAUUGUAAAAUUCUUUCACCGGGGACGAUAAUGACGGUACCCGGAGAAGAAGCUCCGGCUAACUUCGUGCCAGCAGCCGCGGUAAUACGAAGGGGGCUAGUGUUGCUCGGAAUUACUGGGCGUAAAGGGCGCGUAGGCGGACAGCUUAGUCAGAGGUGAAAGCCCAGGGCUCAACCUUGGAAUUGCCUUUGAUACUGGCUGUCUUGAGUUUGGGAGAGGUGAGUGGAACUCCGAGUGUAGAGGUGAAAUUCGUAGAUAUUCGGAAGAACACCAGUGGCGAAGGCGACUCACUGGCCCAAUACUGACGCUGAGGCGCGAAAGCGUGGGGAGCAAACAGGAUUAGAAACCCGGGUAGUCC